UAAUUAAGCGGAGGAAAAGAAACUAACCAGGAUUCCCUCAGUAAGGGCGACUGAAGCGGGAAGAGCUCAAGAUGUGAAUCAGCGCCUUUGAAGCGCCGAAUUGUGGUCUGUAGACAUUGGCAUUACUGGCCGGGCUAAGUCCCUUGGAACAGGGCAGCUUAGAGGGUGAGACUCCCGUUCGCCUGGCUAGAUGAGCCUUUUGUCAACGAGUCGAGUUGUUUGGGAUUGCAGCUCUAAGUGGGUGGUAAAUUCCAUCUAAAGCUAAAUAUUGGUGGGAGACCGAUAGCGUACAAGUACCGUGAGGGAAAGAUGCAAAGAACUUUGAAAAGAGAGUUAAAGAGUACCUGAAAUUGCUGAAAAGGAAGCGAAGGAAACCAGUGUGACCGGCAUCAUAUUUCCCUAUCCGCUUGCGGUUGGGGCGCUGUGUUGUGGUUGAGUUGUCCUUGGUUCGUAUGCCUGGAAGAGCGCAGUGAGAGUUGAUCUCUGUUGCUAGUAGGUGCAUGGACUGAGGAGGACGAAAUGGUUUUCUUUACCCCG
rnacentral:rRNA from 3 species